AGCGAUCCUUUCCUCCAUCAGUUCUUCCUUCACCGAUUCAUCAAUAUUAAUCAUAGGUUUUGCAGGUGGGGGAAUCGAUUCCUUCCAGAAAUCGAUGAACCCUAAAUUGAUCUCCCAAACCCAGGGUUUUAGGGCUUUUUAUCUUCAACACAUCUAAGAUCAGAAACCACUGCUAGCAUUGAGAUCGCUGAAUAAGCUUUGUCGCUGUCGUGAUGUUCAUUCAACUGUAAAGAAUCUCCAAGCUUCAUCGGGUACUAUUUUUUAUGUUUUCUUUUCAUUAAUAUGUGUUGUUUCAAGAUUGAUUGCAUUCAGGAGAUUUGUAGGCUGUUGAUUUCUUUUUAUUUUGUUGUGUUUCAAGAUUUUGUUGAUUUGGUUAAUUGCAUGAGUUUGUAUACUUAUGUUGGGUGCCUACAGUUUCUAUUAUGUAUAUUAAAAUCAGGUUUGAAUAUGUGGUUUAUCUGUGUUUGUUGAUGUGUAUCUGUUGAUGCUCUCAAAAAAACGUAAUCGGCUUAUUUAUACUUGCUAUAUGUCUGUAUGUGUGUUCGUUAAUGUGUAUUUGUUGAGUGUUGAAGCUGUUAGUGUCUUCUUUUAGAUCUGUAUGAUCAUAGUAAUAUCU